rnacentral:rRNA from 1 species
GAUGAACGCUGGCGGCGUGCCUAAUACAUGCAAGUCGAGCGAACAGACGAGGAGCUUGCUCCUCUGACGUUAGCGGCGGACGGGUGAGUAACACGUGGAUAACCUACCUAUAAGACUGGGAUAACUUCGGGAAACCGGAGCUAAUACCGGAUGAUAUAUUGAACCGCAUGGUUCAAUAGUGAAAGACGGUUUUGCUGUCACUUAUAGAUGGAUCCGCGCCGCAUUAGCUAGUUGGUAAGGUAACGGCUUACCAAGGCAACGAUGCGUAGCCGACCUGAGAGGGUGAUCGGCCACACUGGAACGGAGACACGGUCCAGACUCCUACGGGAGGCAGCAGUAGGGAAUCUUCCGCAAUGGGCGAAAGCCUGACGGAGCAACGCCGCGUGAGUGAUGAAGGUCUUCGGAUCGUAAAACUCUGUUAUUAGGGAAGAACAAAUGUGUAAGUAACUAUGCACGUCUUGACGGUACCUAAUCAGAAAGCCACGGCUAACUACGUG